UACGGGGGGGGCAAGCGUUGUUCGGAAUUACUGGGCGUAAAGGGCUCGUAGGCGGCCAACUAAGUCGGACGUGAAAUCCCCAGGCUCAACUUGGGAACUGCGUCCGAUACUGGAUGGCUUGAAUGCGGGAGAGGGAUGCAGAAUUCCAGGUGUAGCGGUGAAAUGCGUAGAUAUCUGGAGGAAUACCGGUGGCGAAGGCGGCAUCCUGGACCGACAUUGACGCUGAUGCGCGAAAGCCAGGGGAGCAAACGGG
rnacentral:rRNA from 1 species